rnacentral:rRNA from 1 species
UUCCGGUUGAUCCUGCCGGAGGACAUUGCUAUUGGGAUUCGAUUUAGCCAUGCUAGUCGAACGAGUUCACACUCGUGGCACAUAGCUCAGUAACACGUGGCCAAGCUACCCUUCAGUCGGCAAUACCCUCGGGAAACUGAGGCUAAUAGCCGAUACGAAACAGACGCUGGAAUGCACUGUAUUCCAAAGACAUCGCUGAAGGAUGCGGCUGCGGCCGAUUAGGUAGACGGUGGGGUAACGGCCCACCGUGCCAGUAAUCGGUACGGGUGAUGAGAGUCAGAGCCCGGAGACGGAAUCUGAGACAAGAUUCCGGGCCCUACGGGGCGCAGCAGGCGCGAAACCUUUACACUGCACGAAAGUGCGAUAGGGGAAUCCCAAGUGCGAGGGCAUAUUAGCCCUCGCUUUUGUUGACUCUAAGGCGGUCAACGAAUAAGAGCUGGGCAAGACCGGUGCCAGCCGCCGCGGU